UACGUAGGGUGCAAGCGUUGUCCGGAAUUAUUGGGCGUAAAGAGCUCGUAGGCGGUCUGUCGCGUCUGCUGUGAAAACUCGGGGCUUAACCCCGGGCCUGCAGUGGGUACGGGCAGACUAGAGUGCGGUAGGGGAGACUGGAAUUCCUGGUGUAGCGGUGAAAUGCGCAGAUAUCAGGAAGAACAUCCGUGGCGAAGGCGGCUCUCUGGGACGGUACUGACGCUGAGACGCGAAAGCGUGGGGAGCGAACAGG
rnacentral:rRNA from 1 species